GACGAACGCUGGCGGCGUGCUUAACACAUGCAAGUCGAACGCUGAAGCACCAGCUUGCUGGUGUGGAUGAGUGGCGAACGGGUGAGUAAUACGUGAGUAACCUGCCCUUGACUCUGGGAUAAGCCCGGGAAACUGGGUCUAAUACUGGAUGCUACAUGUCACCGCAUGGUGGUGUGUGGAAAGGGUUUACUGGUCUUGGAUGGGCUCACGGCCUAUCAGCUUGUUGGUGAGGUAAUGGCUCACCAAGGCGACGACGGGUAGCCGGCCUGGGAGGGUGACCGGCCACACUGGGACUGAGACACGGCCCAGACUCCGACGGGAGGCAGCAGGGGGGAAGAUUGAACAAGGGGCGAAAGCCGGAUGCAGCGACGCCGCGUGAGGGAUGACGGCCUUCGGGUUGUAAACCUCUUUCAGCAGGGAAGAAGCCACAAGUGACGGUACCUGCAGAAGAAGCGCCGGCUAACUACGUG
rnacentral:rRNA from 1 species